GACGGACGCUGGCGGCGUGCUUAACACAUGCAAGUCGAACGGAAAGGCCCUGCUUUUGUGGGGUGCUCGAGUGGCGAACGGGUGAGUAACACGUGAGUAACCUGCCCUUGACUUUGGGAUAACUUCAGGAAACUGGGGCUAAUACCGGAUAGGAGCUCCUGCUGCAUGGUGGGGGUUGGAAAGUUUCGGCGGUUGGGGAUGGACUCGCGACUUAUCAGCUUGUUGGUGGGGUAGUGGCUUACCAAGGCUUUGACGGGUAGCCGGCCUGAGAGGGUGACCGGCCACAUUGGGACUGAGAUACGGCCCAGACUCCUACGGGAGGCAGCAGUGGGGAAUAUUGCACAAUGGGCGGAAGCCUGAUGCAGCAACGCCGCGUGCGGGAUGACGGCCUUCGGGUUGUAAACCGCUUUCGCCUGUGACGAAGCGUGAGUGACGGUAAUGGGUAAAGAAGCACCGGCUAACUACGUG
rnacentral:rRNA from 1 species